CGGUAAUUCCAGCUCCAAUAGCGUAUACUAAAGUUGUUACAGUUAAAAAGCUCGUAGUUGGAUUUCUGCGGGGACGGAGCGGCCGGACGCAACUUGCGUCUCGAGCUAGCGCUUUCCCCGCAUCCUGCCGCGAACCGUGCUACCAUUAGUUUGGUGGCGCCGGGGAUCGGCUCGAUUACUUUGAGAAAAAUAGAGUGUUCAAAGCAGGCCACACGCCUUGAAUAAGUUAGCAUGGAAUAAUGACUAAGGACUUUGGUUCUUUUCGUUGGUGUUCGGGACUGAAGUAAUGAUUGAUAGGGACAGUUGGGGCGGUCCGUAUUCCAAAGCGAGAGGUGAAAUUCUUAGACCUUCGGAAGACGAACAGCUGCGAAAGCGUUCCGCAAGGAUGUUCCCUUUGAUCAAGAACGAAAGUUGGGGGAUCGAAGACGAUCAGAUACCGUCGUAGUCUCAACUAUAAACUAUACCAGCUAGGGAUCGGCCAACGUUUAACUUUAUCGACUUGGUCGGCACCUUAUGAGAAAUCAAAGCAUCUGGGUUCCGGGGGGAGUAUGGUCGCAAGGCUGAAACUUAAAGGAAUUGACGGAAGGGCACCACCAGCCGUGGAGCCUGUGGCUUAAUUUGACUCAACACGGGAAAACUUACCAGGUCCAGACAUAGGAAGGAUUGACAGAUUGAUAGCUCUUUCUUGAUUCUGUGGGUGGUGGUGCAUGGCCGUUUUUAGUCGGUGGAUGUGAUCUGUCUGCUUAAUUGCGUUAACGGACGAGACCCCAGCCUGCUAAAUAGCGCGGCCGAGCUUUGCUCGGUGCGAGCUUCUUAGAGGGACCAUGAUGCGCGAUAGCACAAGGAAGUUUGGGGCAACAACAGGUCUGUGAUGCCCUUAGAUGUUCUGGGCCGCACACGGGCUACACUGGCGCCUGCAACGAGCAUAUCAGCUGGCCCGAGAGGGUCUUGGCUAAUCUUUGGAACCGGCGCCGUGCUUGGGAUUGACCAUUGCAAUUGUUGGUCAUGCAACGAGGAAUGCCUUGUAAACGCGAGUCAUCAGCUCGCAUUGAAUACGUCCCUGCCCUUUGUACACACCGCCCGUCGCUCCUACCGAUGAAUGUUCCGAUGAAAUUUUCGGAGAGCACCAGAGAACGGGGCUCUGCCUUGCAGAACUGGAGGCUCAAAGUCACUUAAAUCUGAACAUUUCGAGGAAGGAGAAGUCGUAACAAGGUAGCCG
rnacentral:rRNA from 1 species